CCUUUUUAUAAGGUUUUGAAUUUGACAAUUUAACAAUAAUACAUGGCUUAACUUGUGAUGCAUUUAGUAAGUUGAAAAAGUAUAGUUGGGCAAGCAAAAUGUUCAUUCGAGCUGUUUGGAUAGAAAAUACAGAGAAAUAAAGUGAGAAAAAUCGAUCGAUAAUUUUUAUGUGCUGGCUAUCAUCAUUAAAUGUAAUAAAUUGUUUCAAUGAAAUGCAUAAACCGCAUCUAACUAAUACAGAUUUACGCUGCUCAAAAUUAAAUGUCAUGGAGAUAAUGAGCCACUACCAUGCUUAUGCAAGAGAAAACAUAAUAACCAACAGAAUAGUAAGCAAGUACCUACUCCUGUAACGCAAAAAAAGAAACAGAAA